rnacentral:tRNA from 2 species
GCCCGAGUGGCGGAAUGGCAGACGCAGCGGACUCAAAAUCCGCCGGGGGCAACCCCGUGUGGGUUCGACUCCCACCUCGGGCA